rnacentral:rRNA from 1 species
GGGUUGUGAGGUUAAGCGAAUAAGCGUACACGGUGGAUGCCUAGGCAAUCAGAGGCGAUGAAGGACGUGCUAAUCUGCGAAAAGCGUCGGUAAGGUGAUAUGAACCGUUAUACCCGACGAUAUCCGAAUGGGGAAACCCAGUAUCCAAUGGAUACUAUCAUUAACUGAAUCCAUAGGUUAAUGAGGCGAACCGGGAGAACUGAAACAUCUCAGUACCCCGAGGAAAAGAAAUCAACCGAGAUUCCCCUAGUAGCGGCGAGCGAACGGGGAGCAGCCCAGAGUCUUAAUCAAUAGCAGUGUCAGGAGAACGGUCUGGAAAGUCCGGCAGUAAAGGGUGAUAGCCCCGUAUCUGAAGAUGCUGUUGUUGUGAACUCGACGAGUAGGGCGGGACACGUGUUAUCCUGUCUGAAUAUGGGGGGACCAUCCUCCAAGGCUAAAUACUCCUGAUUGACCGAUAGUGAACCAGUACCGUGAGGGAAAGGCGAAAAGAACCCCGGCGAGGGGAGUGAAAAAGAACCUGAAACCGUGUACGUACAAGCAGUAGGAGCCUCUUUAUGGGGUGACUGCGUACCUUUUGUAUAAUGGGUCAGCGACUUAUAUUCUGUAGCAAGGUUAACCGUAUAGGGGAGCCGUAGGGAAACCGAGUCUUAACUGGGCGAAUGAGUUGCAGGGUAUAGACCCGAAACCCGGUGAUCUAUCCAUGGGCAGGUUGAAGGUUGGGUAACACUAACUGGAGGACCGAACCGACUAAUGUUGAAAAAUUAGCGGAUGACUUGUGGAUGGGGGUGAAAGGCCAAUCAAACCGGGAGAUAGCUGGUUCUCCCCGAAAGCUAUUUAGGUAGCGCCUCGUGAAUUCAUCUUCGGGGGUAGAGCACUGUUUCGACUAGGGGGUCAUCCCGACUUACCAACUCGAUGCAAACUGCGAAUACCGAAGAAUGUUAUCACGGGAGACACACGGCGGGUGCUAACGUCCGUCGUGAAGAGGGAAACAACCCAGACCGCCAGCUAAGGUCCCAAAGUCAUGGUUAAGUGGGAAACGAAGUGGGAAGGCUCAGACAGCCAGGAUGUUGGCUUAGAAGCAGCCAUCAUUUAAAGAAAGCGUAAUAGCUCACUGGUCGAGUCGGCCCGCGCGGAAGAUGUAACGGGGCUAAACCAUGCACCGAAGCUGCGGCAGCGACACAUAGUGUUGUUGGGUAGGGGAGCGUUCUGUAAGCCUGCGAAGGUGUACUGUGAGGUAUGCUGGAGGUAUCAGAAGUGCGAAUGCUGACAUAAGUAACGAUAAUGCGGGUGAAAAACCCGCACGCCGGAAGACCAAGGGUUCCUGUCCAACGUUAAUCGGGGCAGGGUGAGUCGACCCCUAAGGCGAGGCUGAAAAGCGUAGUCGAUGGGAAACGGGUUAAUAUUCCCGUACUGGUGGUAACUGCGAUGGGGGAACGGAGAAGGCUAGGUUGUCCGGGCGACGGUCGUCCCGGUUCAAGCAGGUAGGCAGAGUGAUUAGGCAAAUCCGGUCACUUAAUGCUGAGAUGUGAUGACGAACCACCAAGGUGGUGAAGCAAUUGAUGCCCCGCUUCCAGGAAAAGCCUCUAAGCUUCAGGUUACCAACAAUCGUACCCCAAACCGACACAGGUGGUCAGGUAGAGAAUACUCAGGCGCUUGAGAGAACUCGGGUGAAGGAACUAGGCAAAAUGGUGCCGUAACUUCGGGAGAAGGCACGCUGGCGGUAGGUAAAGUCCCUCGCGGACGGCGCUGAAGCCAGUCGAAGAUACCAGCUGGCUGCAACUGUUUAUUAAAAACACAGCACUGUGCAAACACGAAAGUGGACGUAUACGGUGUGACGCCUGCCCGGUGCUGGAAGGUUAAUUGAUGGGGUUAGCGUAAGCGAAGCUCCUGAUCGAAGCCCCAGUAAACGGCGGCCGUAACUAUAACGGUCCUAAGGUAGCGAAAUUCCUUGUCGGGUAAGUUCCGACCUGCACGAAUGGCGUAAUGAUGGCCAGGCUGUCUCCACCCGAGACUCAGUGAAAUUGAACUCGCUGUGAAGAUGCAGUGUACCCGCGGCAAGACGGAAAGACCCCGUGAACCUUUACUAUAGCUUGACACUGAACAUUGAGCCUUGAUGUGUAGGAUAGGUGGGAGGCUUUGAAGUGUGGACGCCAGUCUGCAUGGAGCCAACCUUGAAAUACCACCCUUUAACGUUUGAUGUUCUAACCUAGGCCCAUAAACUGGGUCGGGGACCGUGUCUGGUGGGUAGUUUGACUGGGGCGGUCUCCUCCUAAAGAGUAACGGAGGAGCACGAAGGUUGGCUAAGCAUGGUCGGACAUCAUGCGGUUAGUGCAAAGGCAUAAGCCAGCUUGACUGCGAGAGUGACGGCUCGAGCAGGUACGAAAGUAGGUCUUAGUGAUCCGGUGGUUCUGAAUGGAAGGGCCAUCGCUCAACGGAUAAAAGGUACUCCGGGGAUAACAGGCUGAUACCGCCCAAGAGUUCAUAUCGACGGCGGUGUUUGGCACCUCGAUGUCGGCUCAUCACAUCCUGGGGCUGAAGUAGGUCCCAAGGGUAUGGCUGUUCGCCAUUUAAAGUGGUACGCGAGCUGGGUUUAGAACGUCGUGAGACAGUUCGGUCCCUAUCUGCCGUGGGCGUUGGAAGAUUGAGAGGGGUUGCUCCUAGUACGAGAGGACCGGAGUGAACGCACCACUGGUGUUCGGGUUGUCAUGCCAAUGGCAUUGCCCGGUAGCUAAGUGCGGAAGAGAUAACCGCUGAAAGCAUCUAAGCGGGAAACUUGCCUCGAGAUGAGUCUUCCCUGUCGCUUUAAGUGACCUAAAGGAACGUUUAAGACUAAGACGUUGAUAGGCUGGGUGUGUAAGCGUAGCGAUACGUUGAGCUAACCAGUACUAAUGAACCGUGAGGCUUAACCUGACAACACCGAAAGUGUUUUG